CAACUCUUACCGUGGAUCACACACUAA
rnacentral:rRNA from 1 species